rnacentral:misc_RNA from 1 species
UUUGUUAGGCAUGUUGUCAUAAUUGUGGACAAUUUGUGUAAUGGCUAAACCAAAUAUUUCCAAGUACUGGUGUGUUGUCCCAGGUUGUACGUCAGACGGACGUAAAAAGCGGAACCUGGAAAAGUAUCCUGCAAUGGAAGGAGUCGAUUUUUUCCCGUUUCCCACCCGCUUAAAGAACAAUAAAAUUAGAAAGCGGUGGAUCUCUCAGAUUAAUAGAGAGAAUUUUGAACCAAAAAGACAUCACCGGGUGUGUUCUAAUCAUUUUGUUGAUGGAAGACCUACUGAGUGUAACCCAAUCCCAACAUUGUUUCCAAGAAAUAAUUUCAUGCGCCCUUUGAAGGAGAGACCACAGAAUGCUGUAGAAAAAAGAAACAUCACUUCUGCUCGACUUGAUCAACUUCAGGAUGAUAAUACAACUGAGACUGAACUUUUCAAUGCACCACCAGUUGCAGCAGAAGUUAUUGUAACUGCAGUUAUGGAAGGUGAAAACACAGUUUCUCAUGUUCGAUCCAGAAAAUUGCCAGGAAUAACAGCAAAGUCCAGUGUUGUGAAUCAUGAUCAUUCAUACAUGUCUGAAGAAAAAAGCUGGGAAAGAUCCUGAACCUGUUGACAUGUCCACACAAACAGAUCUCACAGGAGAGGGCAUUGAACUCUUGCAGCGGCAAACCAGAGAGAUGAAAGCAAAACUAUCUGACAAAGAAGCAUUGUUGCGAGACUGUUUUUUUAGAAAAUGUCAUCAAGUCCGAUGUUUCAGUGAAACAUUACACAGGGUUACCCAGUAAACCUAUUUUGGAUGGAUUGUUUUCAUCAAUAGAAGCAGAUAAAUGCAAACUCAAAUACUGGUCAGGAAAAAAAUCUGUCGGUGAUAUGAAGUAUGAAGAGGAAGGUAAAAAACCAGGACCCAAACGGAAGCUCAGUCCCUAUGAGGAAUUCAUUUUAACUCUUGUUAGACUAAGACUUGGAAUAGUAGGAUUUGUUCUUGCAGAUUUAUUUGGUGUUUCAAAGACCCGGGUAUCCCAAAUUUUUACUACCUGGAUAUCAUAUAUGCACGAUGUUUUCAGUCCACUUAUUAAAUGGCAGUCUAGAGAAAAAAAUAUCAAAUACAUGCCAAAAUCAUUUAAGAAAUCGUUCCCUAGGACUUGUGCUAUUAUAGACUGCACAGAAUUUUUUGUUCAGAGGCCAAAAACUCCUACUUGUCAGUCAGCAACCUACAGCUCUUACAAACAUCAUAACACUUUCAAGUGUUUAGUAAGCAUUACCCCUUCAGGUGCAUUUAACUAUAUUUCAGACUUGUGGUCUGGAAAUGUAUCAGAUAGGUAUAUUACCGAGAAUAGUUCCUUUUUAGAUAAUAUAGAGCCAUUCGAUGAAGUUAUGGCUGAUCGUGGCUUUAACAUUGGGGACCUUUUGACCUUGAGAAGAGCUACUCUAAACAUUCCUCCCUUUACUCACAAGUGUCCUUGGGGUAAAGGAAAACGUUUGAAUGCUAGCGAAGUAAGGAAAACUAGAAAAAUAGCAAAUUUAAGAAUUCAUGUAGAAAGGGCAAUACAAAGAUUAAAGUGUUUCAAACUACUCUCAAAUAUUAUUCCAUUGAAAUUAAAACCUAUUUGUAAUCAAAUGCUAAAAGUUGCUGCAUUUUUCUGCAAUAUUGACAAACCUCUUGUGAAAAAUUAGAUGUAUCACCUGUGUAUAAAGUGCAUAAUUAUGAUGCUUAUAACUUAUUGUAAGUUUUUGUAUUUAGGUAUUUGCAUGUGCCUGGUCACUACUGGUUAUCAUGGUAUUGAUAAUUUAGUCACUACUGGUUAUCAUUGUAUUGAUAAUUUAGUCAAACAGCGAUGUUGUUUAUGUCUGAACUUGUAUUACAUUUUUAAAUUUACUUUAUCUAUAUUAAAAGCUGAAAUUAAAUAAUGCGCUGUCUGCAUGGUCAGUGUGACAACUUGUUUAGAGAGUGGCACAUUUUCUAUUUCUUUGGAAGAGAAGUUUAAAGUAUUGAUUUUUCUUGGAAAAUUUUAAGAGUAUUGUAUAUUCAUGAUAAAAAGCUAUUAAAUUGUCAUGCUGAUUGGUUUUAAUAUUUUUCAAUGAUUUGAAUUGUGAUAAAUUUGAGCAUUUUUGUAAAAGUGCACAAGUAUUAAAACAAAAUUAAAUGAUAAAAC